rnacentral:rRNA from 1 species
AUUGAACGCUGGCGGCAUGCCUUACACAUGCAAGUCGAACGGUAACAGGUCUUCGGAUGCUGACGAGUGCGAACGGGUGAGUAAUACAUCGGAACGUGCCUAGUAGUGGGGGAUAACUACUCGAAAGAGUGGCUAAUACCGCAUGAGAUCUACGGAUGAAAGCAGGGGAUCGCAAGACCUUGUGCUACUAGAGCGGCCGAUGGCAGAUUAGGGAGUUGGUGGGAUAAAAGCCUACCAAGCCGACGAUCUGUAGCUGGUCUGGGAGGACGAUCAGCCACACUGGGACUGAGACACGGCCCAGACUCCUACGGGAGGCAGCAGUGGGGAAUGUUGGACAAUGGGCGAAAGCCUGAUCCAGCAAUGCCGCGUGCAGGAUGAAGGCCUUCGGGUUGUAAACUGCUUUUGUGCGGAACGAAAAGCCCUGGGUUAAUACCCUGGGGUCAUGACGGUACCGUAAGAAUAAGCACCGGCUAACUACGUGCCAGCCGCCGCGGUAA